rnacentral:rRNA from 1 species
AGUAGCGGCGAGCGAACACGGAAGAGCCCAGCGCUGAAUCCCCGGGUCGUUGCCGGCCCGCGGGAAAUGUAGCGUUAGGGAGCGUCCGUCAACCCGGGCGCGCGCGGCGAGCACAAGUCUCCCUUGAACGGUGCCAUAAUCCACAGAGGGUGCCAGGCCCGUACUGCCGCCGCCGCGUCCGAGUGGGCGACUCCUGGGAGUCGGUCUGUUUGAGAACGCAGACCUAAGUGGGUGGUAAACUCCAUCUAAGGCUAAAUACGACCACGAGACCGAUAGCGCACAAGUACCGUGAGGGAAAGGUGAAAAGAACUUUGAAGAGAGAGUUCAAGAGUACGUGAAACUGGAGAGGUGAAAACGGAUGUGGCUCGAAAUUCCGAACGGUGGUGUUCAGUCUCACCGUGUCCGGACCUCCCGUCCGCUGAGACCAAGGGGCCUCGCCGGCGCGCGCUCGUCCCUCGGGGCGGUCGUCGCGUCGCCCGGUCCCCUCUCGGGCGGGGAAACUCUUACGGGUUCCGGUUCGGUGUGGAUGCACUCACCACCGUAGUAGGAUGUCGCGACUCGUCGGGUGUCGGUCGCGAGGCUGGGCGGGGUAGCCCGGUGUCCGCGUGUCUCGCGCCUCUGAGGUGAAAUGCGAGCAGUGCGGCCCGGACCCGUUUCCCAUGAUUCCUCUCCGGCUGCCCGACGGUAUCGAAGGCGAGCAGGCGUUCCACCGCCCGCUGUAAACAAAGCCCCUUGCUCGUCUCGGGGUAGGCGGGUUUUCGCGCGCCUGCUGUCUGCGGCAUUGCCUGAUUCGGGUCCACAUCCGACCCGUCUUGAAACACGGACCAAGGAGCGUAACACGUGCGCGAGUCGAAGGGUGCCACUAAACCCGGAGGCGAAGCGAAAGCGUAAGGGACGAUGGCUUCUGGUCGCGCUCUCCGGCUCCACGCCGGAUCCGGCCUGCCCGCAGUCCCGGGGCACCUCAUACGGCUCUGGCGGGGUUCUGCCCGCCCUUCGCGGGGCGGGAUCCCCCCCGCCUGAGUCGAGGCGCACCUGAGAGCGCACGUGUUGUUACCCGAAAGAUGGUGAACUAUGCCUGGCCAGGACGAAGCCAGGGGAAACCCUGGUGGAAGUCCGUAGCGAUUCUGACGUGCAAAUCGAUCGUCGGAGCUGGGUAUAGGGGCGAAAGACUAAUCGAACCAUCUAGUAGCUGGUUCCCUCCGAAGUUUUCCCUCAGGAUAGCUGGCGCUCGGAGGAAUGAGAAGUGGAUGACGAGUCUCAUCCGGUAAAGCGAAUGAUUAGAGGCAUUGGGGCCGAAACGACCUCAACCUAUUCUCAAACUUUAAAUGGGUGAGAACCCCGGCUUGCUUGAGACCGGUGUCUGCCCCCGCGCGUCGCUGCGCCGGCCCACCCGCGGCCGGUUAUGAAACGGGCGCCGGGGGUCCCGGGCAUAGGGGUCUUCGGGCCCCUUCCUGAAGCCGGGGCGUGAGAUCACGGAUCAAUGAGUGCCAAGUGGGCCAAUUUUGGUAAGCAGAACUGGCGCUGUGGGAUGAACCAAACGCAGAGUUAAAGCGCCUAAGUGGACGCUCAUGGGAGACCAUGAAAGGUGUUGGUUGCUUAAGACAGCAGGACGGUGGCCAUGGAAGUCGGAAUCCGCUAAGGAGUGUGUAACAACUCACCUGCCGAAGCAACUAGCCCUUAAAAUGGAUGGCGCUGAAGCGUCCCGCUUAUACUCUGCCGCGGGCGGCAAAAGCGGCCGGUAAGGCGGACGGCCCUCGCCUCGCGGCGGGGAAACCGGCCCCGAGCCUUGAGGCCCCCGUGAGUAGGAGGGUGCGCUCGGGUGCGCGCAGAAGGGUCUGGGCGUGAGCCUGCCUGGAGCCGCCCGAGGUGCAGAUCUUGGUGGUAGUAGCAAAUACUCCAGAGAGGGCCCUGGAGGGCUGAUGCGGAGAAGGGUUCCGUGUGAACAGCUGUUGCACACGGGUCAGUCGAUCCUAAGCCCUAGGAGAAAUCCUACGUGCGAUGCGCGGGUGUUUUUCUUUUUCUAAUCGAAGAGAGCCUCCCGUCGCCGGGCGAAAGGGAAUCAGGUUCCUAUUCCUGAACCCAGAUGCGGUACCGUUCCACCGGGCUUGUCUCGAAGCCGUCCGUCCCGCCGUCGGCCUCCGCGCCUUCGGCGCGGUCACGGGCGCGCCUAGGGCGAACUCGUCGGGGUAACCCGAACAGCCGCGGAGAAGCCGGCCGGAGCCCCCGGGAGAGUUGUCUUUUCUGUAUUACCGCGCAAGUUCCCUGGAAUUCCAUUGCGGAGAGAGAGGGAAUAGCGCGGGAAGAGCACCGCACUUGCGGCGGUGUCGGGGGUGACCGCUCGGACCAUGAAAAUCCGCGUGAGGGCCACGGAGAACAACCGAUCUGGCUCGUACCCAUAUCCGCAGCC